GAUGAACGCUAGCGAUAGGCUUAACACAUGCAAGUCGAGGGGCAGCAUGGUCUUAGCUUGCUAAGACUGAUGGCGACCGGCGCACGGGUGCGUAACGCGUAUGCAACUUGCCUCACAGAGGGGGAUAACCCGUCGAAAGACGGACUAAUACCGCGUACACUCUAUGUUGGGCAUCCAAUGUAGAGGAAAUGAAAUUCGCUGUGAGAUAGGCAUGCGUCCCAUUAGCUAGUUGGUGAGGUAACGGCUCACCAAGGCGACGAUGGGUAGGGGAACUGAGAGGUUGAACCCCCACACUGGUACUGAGACACGGACCAGACUCCUACGGGAGGCAGCAGUGAGGAAUAUUGGUCAAUGGGCGAGAGCCUGAACCAGCCAAGUCGCGUGAAGGAUGACUGUCUUAUGGAUUGUAAACUUCUUUUAUACGGGAAUAACAAGAGUCACGUGUGGCUCCCUGCAUGUACCGUA
rnacentral:rRNA from 1 species